GUGCCAGCCGCCGCGGUAAUACGUAGGGUGCGAGCGUUAAUCGGAAUUACUGGGCGUAAAGCGUGCGCAGGCGGUUUUGUAAGUCAGAUGUGAAAUCCCCGAGCUCAACUUGGGAACUGCGUUUGAAACUACAAGACUAGAAUAUGUCAGAGGGGGGUAGAAUUCCACGUGUAGCAGUGAAAUGCGUAGAGAUGUGGAGGAAUACCAAUGGCGAAGGCAGCCCCCUGGGAUAAUAUUGACGCUCAUGCACGAAAGCGUGGGGAGCAAACAGGAUUAGAUACCCUGGUAGUCCACGCCCUAAACGAUGUCUACUAGUUGUUGGUGGAGUAAAAUCCAUGAGUAACGCAGCUAACGCGUGAAGUAGACCGCCUGGGGAGUACGAUCGCAAGAUUAAAACUCAAAUGAAUUGACGGGGGCCCGCACAAGCGGUGGAUUAUGUGGAUUAAUUCGAUGCAACGCGAAAAACCUUACCUGGCCUUGACAUGUACCGAAUUUACCAGGGAUGGUUUAGUGCUCGAAAGAGAACGGUAACACAGGUGCUGCAUGGCUGUCGUCGGCUCGUGUCGUGAGAUGUUGGGUUAAGUCCCGCAACGAGCGCAACCCUUGCCAAUAAUUGCCAUCAUUUAGUUGGGCACUUUAUUGGGACUGCCGGUGACAAACCGGAGGAAGGUGGGGAUGACGUCAAGUCCUCAUGGCCCUUAUGGCCAGGGCUUCACACGUAAUACAAUGGUCGGUACAGAGGGUCGCCAACCCGCGAGGGGGAGCUAAUCCCAGAAAGCCGAUCGUAGUCCGGAUUGCAGGCUGCAACUCGCCUGCAUGAAGUCGGAAUCGCUAGUAAUCGCGGAUCAGCAUGUCGCGGUGAAUACGUUCCCGGGCCUUGUACACACCGCCCGUCACACCAUGGGAGUGGGUUUUACCAGAAGUAGGUAGUCUAACCGCAAGGGGGGCGCUUACCACGGUAGUAUUCAUGACUGGGGUGAAGUCGUAACAAGGUAACC
rnacentral:rRNA from 1 species